rnacentral:rRNA from 1 species
GAUGAACGCUAGCGGCAGGCCUAAUACAUGCAAGACGAACGGUAAGUUGAGUAGCAAUACUUAGCCAAGAGUGUCGUACGGGUGCGUAACACGUAUGCAACCUACCCUAUACAGGAGGAUAGCCUAGGGAACCUGGAUUAACCCUUCAUAGUAUUAUUGGAUGGCAUCAUUUGAUAAUUAAAACUGAGUGGUAUAGGAUGGGCAUGCGUCUGAUUAGUUAGUUGGCGGGGGUAAUGGCCCACCAAGACGAUGAUCAGUAGGGGUUCUGAGAGGAAGAUCCCCCACACUGGCACUGAGAUACGGGCCAGACUCCUACGGGAGGCAGCAGUAGGGAAUAUUGGUCAAUGGAUGCAAGUCUGAACCAGCCAUGCCGCGU